rnacentral:rRNA from 1 species
CCUACGGGUGGCUGCAGUGGGGAAUAUUGGACAAUGGGCGAAAGCCUGGUCCAGCCGUGCCGCGUGUGUGAAGAAGGCCUUCGGGUUGUAAAGCACUUUCAGUGGGGAAGAAAGCCUUGGGGCUAAUACCCUCGAGGAAGGACAUCACCCACAGAAGAAGCACCGGCUAACUCCGUGCCAGCAGCCGCGGUAAUACGGAGGGUGCGAGCGUUAAUCGGAAUUACUGGGCGUAAAGCGCGCGUAGGCGGUCUGAUAAGCCGGUUGUGAAAGCCCCGGGCUCAACCUGGGAACGGCAUCCGGAACUGUCAGGCUAGAGUGCAGGAGAGGAAGGUAGAAUUCCCGGUGUAGCGGUGAAAUGCGUAGAGAUCGGGAGGAAUACCAGUGGCGAAGGCGGCCUUCUGGACUGACACUGACGCUGAGGUGCGAAAGCGUGGGUAGCAAACAGGAUUAGAUACCCGAGUAGUC